UAAAAAUGUUUUUUGUAUUUCUUUUUAAUAUUCCUGACAAAAAACUUGGUGAUUUUUAGAAAAUUUAUUAUGAAAUUUGGCAAAACUUUCGAGUUUUUGAGUUUAUACUUAAUCUUUUUUGUUUUUAUAUUUAAUUUAGUAGUUUUAAAACUGUUUUGUGCAAAACUCUAUAAUAAAGUAAAAAUAAGUAAAAUAUGACGUAAACUCAAACAAGGGAUUGUACGAACACGUCACCGUAAACCAGGCAGAAAUAAUAAAAUAAUGCGGCAAAAGGUAAGCACAUAAAUACGCUAAGUUAUAAACGUAAGAUCACAACUUAAUAAAAACUUGUAUUAUACUUCAAAUUUAUGUUUAUUUAUAAAUUUUGCAAAUUUAAUUGAUUUUCCUUAGUUUGUUAAUUUUAUAAUUGUCACAUAAAUCAAUAUAACUAUAUCACGAAUUUUUUUGUGGCAACAGGUACUUCGACUUAUAGAGGUUCCACUGUAUCAGAUGUAAGACCUGCAGCUACAGUCCGGGACAUUUCUAUUUGGACAUAAAAAAUUUGAAUUUUCUGACAUUUAUACGUAUAUUCAGCGUCUAUGUGAACAAAAAAUGUUCUCUCUCUCAUUCUGUGGUCCUUGAGCUUUAAUAACAGGGACAUUUUUUAAAUUGGUAGCAUUAGAAAAUGACAGUAAACAGCUGACUGAUGUAAACAAUAACAAAGGAAAUGUUAUAAUUUUAAUCUAUAUAACCAGUGGCUGCUUUAAAAGUGUGUACCAACGGGAUAAUAAAAUAUUUACGCAAGUAUUUUUGAAGGUAGAAACAUUACUUGUCAUAUAACAAUUAUAGAUUAUAUGAUGAGACGGGAAUGGCACAACACAGAAUUGCAGUCAGUGAUUGUGCUGGAGAAAGCUGCUGUGACGUACUGACAGUACUGACUAUCGCUGGUUGUACGAUUUGUGCACUUUGUGAUAUAUUUUGUGUGAAAAACUGGAAAACAAAGUGCAUACCUGCAUAACCUCACUUAUCGCAGUUUUGCACAUUUUGAUGAUGGGAAUUGCGGUUCAAGUAAUUAUGAGUUACAGAUGGAGCUCACUGUUUACUUCAAAUGUUUAUAAUUUGCAGCUGAAGCCUUUUGGGUCCACUUUUUUCGUUGUUAUUUCCUGGUAGCGACUAUUGUUUCAAGCAGAAUGGGUGUAAAGUUAAAAAUAAUCCCAUAAAAUUGUUAAUAUAACUCCGUUGCACUGGCAUGGGGUAUUUGAAAACUUACGUUUGACAAAUACGUCACAAAGUCUCAUCCAUCGUUGAAAAACAUAAUAAGGGCUUUAUAACAACAAGCGCUUUCUGAUUUUACUGUGGACGUGUGGAAGAAUAGUGUGAAAUAUUGCGAAAAACCAACUUUUACUCUUGUUUACAUUUUUGUACGUCUCUAUCUGAGAGUAGUCGUCUUUUAUAAAAAAUAUAGCCUACUAAUAAAGGAAAUUAAAGUGUUUUUAUUUCUGGGUUGCCUCCAAUUCCACUUUGCCCUUGCCUGAUAAUCAAGACACUGAUAAUGAAAUUGGUGUAAGUGCAUCAAAUACAAACGUGUUGAAUAGAUGAAUAAAAGAGAGACAACUGCUUUUUUCAAAAAGGCCAUUUCAAAUUUAUUCAAAAAGCACACCCCCAUUGAAAUGGGUCCAUUCACGAUGAAGUUUAGCUUCCUGCAUGACAUAGGUCUCGGGCACCAAUCUCACUGUAAAUGGUCUAAAUUGGUCUUGCAUCUCUAAGACAUGGACUCACUGAGAGCGACUUCUGCAAUAGGCUUGAGACCUGCCUGCCUGUCUCGCAACAAUCUCUGCAUUAUGAUUCCAAAUUAUUUUAUAAAAUGCUGUCAAUUACAAGCCAUGAUAUGAGGCAUGAGGCCGUCUCAGUGUAUGUCUUGUGGUGUACAUUGAAACUGUUUCUUAAAGAACCCAUUCACAAUGAGAUCUGCUUCGCUACAUGCGGCGCGACAGGACUCAAAGACUAAUCCCAAAAGAUACAAAAAAACUGACACAGUUUCAUCAUUUUAAGCCAUUGACAGCGUUUUCGAAUGUUGGUGCAAAGACUUGUCGCGAGGCAGAUUUCAGCCUUCCGCCAACGUCAGUCUCAGUGAAACCCUCUCAAAGUGAUCUCAGCGAAAACCAUUCACAAUGAGAUUGGUCUAUGAGGCCUAUGUCGUGCCGCAUGCAGCGAGAUAUGUCUCAUUGUUAAUGAAAAUAGGGCCUUUUUUGUUGUUUAAAGUCGUUUUUUAAAACUUUUGUGGCAAAUUUUACUGAUGUGUCAGAGAGGGGGCAUGCAAGUGGAACAUGACGAUGACUACCCUAAAAGUCACUUCGAGGCUUUUAUGGCCUUUUUAAUGCAAAUUUCAACUUUAAACCUGACAGUCAUACCAAGGUCAAACAUAACCUCAACAGUACUCCAGCAACGGUACUUCAAAGCAUUUGAAAGUUUCUCCAUUUGUUUUUAAGUGUUCUAGUUGGUACAUUUUGCUGUACUUUACUACAAUAAAGAAAUAUUUAAAUUUU